GAUGAACGCUGGCGGCGUGCCUAAUACAUGCAAGUCGAGCGAACAGACGAUGCUUUCGCUCCACUGACGUUAGCGACGGACGGGUGAGUAACACGUGGAUAACCUUCCUAUAAGACUGGGACAAGUUCGGGAAAGCGGAGCUACUACCGGAUAAUAUAUUGAACGGCAUGGUUGAAUAGUGAUAGCCGGUUUUGCUGUGCUUUAUAGAUGGCUCCGCGCCGCUUGAGCUAGUUGGUAAGGUAACGGCUUACCGAGGCAGCGAUGCGUAGCCGACCUGGGAGGGGGAACGCCGACACUGAGACUGGACGGCGGUCCAGACACCGACAGGAGGCAGCAGUAGGGAAUGGUGCGCGAUGGGCGAAAGCCUGACGGAGCGGCGCCGGGUGAGUGAUGAAGGUCUGCGGAUCGGAAGACUCUGUUAUGAGGGAAGAACAAAUGUGUAAGGAACGAUGCACGUUUUGACGGUACCUAGUCAGGAAGCCACGGCUAACUACGUG
rnacentral:rRNA from 1 species